rnacentral:rRNA from 1 species
GACGAACGCUGGCGGCGUGCCUAAUACAUGCAAGUUGAGCGCUGAAGGUUGGUACUUGUUCCUACUGGCUGAGCAGCGAACGGGUGAGUAACGCGUGGGGAAUCUGCCUUUGAGCGGGGGACAACAUUUGGAAACGAAUGCUAAUACCGCAUAAAAACUUUAAACACAAGUUUCAAGUUUGAAAGAUGCAUUUGCAUCACUCAAAGAUGAUCCCGCGUUGUAUUAGCUAGUUGGUGAGGUAAAGGCUCACCAAGGCGAUGAUACAUAGCCGACCUGAGAGGGUGAUCGGCCACAUUGGGACUGAGACACGGCCCAAACUCCUACGGGAGGCAGCAGUAGGGAAUCUUCGGCAAUGGACGAAAGUCUGACCGAGCAACGCCGCGUGAGUGAAGAAGGUUUUCGGAUCGUAAAACUCUGUUGGUAGAGAAGAACGUUGGUGAGAGUGGAAAGCUCAUCAAGGGACGGUAACUACCCAGAAAGGGACGGCUAAUUACGU